rnacentral:lncRNA from 1 species
UAAUCCGAGCGCACCAACGCGUCGGAAAUACCCCCAAUUAGGUUUUUAGAGGGUCAAUUGCACUUAGAAACCCUCAUGAGCAAAAGCCCCAAUUUGGUGCCCUAGCUCCAAUGCAUAUACAAAACCUAGGGUUUGAUCUCAUUGGGAAGCAAAAAUAGCUUCAUUAUACUCUAAAUAGUCCAUUAAAACCAUUCCUAGCUCAUUCCAAACCCUAGUUUGGAUUUCACCAGUAGAGGUGAUGAAGCUCACCUCAAGCUUCACCAUUUCCAUGGCCUUGAUCUCAAAAGAAGCAAAAGAAAAGCUUCCAAUACUCCAAAAGCUCCAUAAAAACCAUUUCUAGGUUUUCCAAAACCCUAGUUUGGGAGUUAACAUGAAAAAGGGCAAAGCUUACCUCAAAGCUUGCUCCUUUCUUGCACUAGAGAAGGAGAGGAGAGGCUUUCUUCUUCUCCUUGUCUUCUUCUUCACUUUCUUCCUCUUCUUUUCCUUCUUUUCUUCCUUUCUUCUUCUUCUCCUUUGUCUUCUAGAGAGAGAGAGGGAGAGAAGAGAGUGUGUGUGAGGGAGAGAAUGAGAGAAAAGGCUCUCUCAGCCCUCUACAUAGCUAUUGGAUUGCAUAAUUGCAAAUAAACCCCUCAACUUUCACUUUAAUACACUGCCUGAACUGGGCAGUUCGCGCAGGCAGGGACCGGUCUCUCCUUUAGGGACCGGUUCCCGAACGUCGUCCCAGCGCAGCCAGAGCUGCUGCGCGCAGUGCAACCGGUCUCUCCUUGUGGGACCGGUCUCUCGGGGACCGGUCUCUCAGGCAGGGACCGGUUCCCGAGAGCUAAUUUCUCAGGACUUAGCCGAUUUUUCGGCUGUCUCAUUUCACACGCGUUCGGGGACCGGUCUCUCCCACCAGGGACCGGUCCCCGAGAGC